UCCGGUUUGUCACCGGCAGUCUCAUUAGAGUGCCCAACCAAAUGUAGCAACUAAUGACAAGGGUUGCGCUCGUUGCGGGACUUAACCCAACAUCUCACGACACGAGCUGACGACAGCCAUGCAGCACCUGUGUUACCGCUCCCUUUCGGGCACCCUCCCAUCUCCGGGAGGUUCGGUACAUGUCAAGGGUAGGUAAGGUUUUUCGCGUUGCAUCGAAUUAAUCCACAUAAUCCACCGCUUGUGCGGGUCCCCGUCAAUUCCUUUGAGUUUUAAUCUUGCGACCGUACUCCCCAGGCGGUCAACUUCACGCGUUAGCUGCGUUACUGAAGGGUUAACCCCCCCAACAACUAGUUGACAUCGUUUAGGGCGUGGACUAC
rnacentral:misc_RNA from 1 species